ensembl:lncRNA
GACAAGCAGAAGUUACCUUGCUCCUAGAAGAAAGAGAAAGGACACUCCAAGAUGAAAACUGUGGGGCCGAGACACGUCGAAGUGUAAAGAGCAGCUCUGUGCUGCUGAAGGACGAUUGCCGGGCAUAGCCUCACGCUUGGGAGCUGCCUAGUGACAAGCUGUGUGGAGGGCUGAGCGUGUACCCAGAGCUGGCCCUGUCUUUUAAACUGACUGCUUCCUGGAAGCUCUCUCAGCUGAGACAUUCUGGGAUCCCAAGAGAGUAUGCUGAUCUCUUCAUUAUCUCAUCAUGUAUUGAUGUGGGAGUUGGACCAUGAAGAAGGCUGAACGCUGAAGAAUUGAUGCUUUCAAACUGUGGUGCUGGAGAAGACUCUUGAGAGUCCCUUGGACAGCAAGGAGAUCAAACCCAUCAAUCCUAAAGGAAAUAAACCCUGAAUAUUCACUGGAAGGACUGAUACUGAAGCUAAAGCGUCAAUACUUUGGCCACCUGAUGUGAAGAACUGAC